GAUGAACGCUAGCGAUAGGCUUAACACAUGCAAGUCGAGGGGCAGCACAAGGUAGCUUGCUAUCUGGGUGGCGACCGGCGCACGGGUGCGUAACGCGUAUGCAACUUGCCCUAUACAGGAGGAUAACCCGUCGAAAGACGGACUAAUACUGCGUAUGCUCACAACUUGGCAUCAAGUGGUGAGGAAAGAAAUUCGGUAUAGGAUAGGCAUGCGUCCCAUUAGCUUGUUGGUGAGGUAACGGCUCACCAAGGCAACGAUGGGUAGGGGAACUGAGAGGUUUAUCCCCCACACUGGUACUGAGACACGGGCCAGACUCCUACGGGAGGCAGCAGUGAGGAAUAUUGGUCAAUGGGCGCGAGCCUGAACCAGCCAAGUCGCGUGAAGGAUGACUGUCUUAUGGAUGGUAAACUUCUUUUAUACGGGAAUAACAAGAGUCACGGGUGACUCCCUGCAUGUACCGUAUGAAUAAGCAUCGGCUAACUCCGUG
rnacentral:rRNA from 1 species